UCGUGCUUCCCUCGUGCUUCCCGUGCUACUUCAGUGUCUUCUCUGGGGGUUUGAGGCCGUGCAGAGAACAGCAUGCUUCCUGCUCAGGGAGGUGUGUCUGCCUCUGGUGGUCCUGCUGUGGAGCGGCUUCAGGUCUUGGCAGGAGGCAGUGAAGCACAAAGGAGUCUGUGUGUAAAACAUCACCUGGAGGUCUCACUACAGCGCCGUCGGCGCUGCUGCUGAGAACACGAGAUGAGCUCAGUUUUACAGAGUGGCAAAGUGAUCGCCAGACGUGCCGAAAGCAGAUCUCAACACACGCUAUAUCUGCGUGAAAUGUCCUCCGAAAACAUUCUCCGGCCCGAGGAACAAAAGCUCCUUUUGUCCCCCUUGCAUGUAACCGAGGGUCCGUGUUUUUGUGUAAACAAUAAGCAUAAAACUGGGUGUACUUGAAAAUAAUUACUGCCUCUAACUAGUUAUCUAGGCCAAAUUUCUCAUCUGCAUACUAUGCCAAACAGCUCUAACGAACGGCUGCCAAACGUUCAUUUCAACGAAUGGCAAAAGUCCAAACUCACCCGACUUUACUAGAGGAAAUAUAACUAUUUAUUUGCAGUUAUAUUGUUCAUUAUGUGUGUGUUUAGAACUGUAUAAUAUAUUUUUGGUUAUUACAGUGUAGUAUGCUUCCUUGCAACUACAACUGAAGGGUUUCUAUUCUUUUUUUUUUUUACUUAUUUGUUUUCUAUUUUAAUCCAUUUAUUGUCUUAUGUAUACAUUUUCUAUGUGUGAAGUAUGGAAAAUUGUGCAAUCCUCUAUUGUGAAAUGCCAAUAAAGCUUAAUAAUAAACCUUGAACGUUGUUAGCUGUCAUAACAUUGCUGUUAGAGAAAGAUAUGCAUAUGAAAUCCUUUUUUUCAUUUAGCCUGGGAUGCCUGAGAUCCCACCCCCCAUGAAUAAAAAUGUAAAACCAAAAGUAGACCAUCACUGCAAUUUUCUAAUUAGGUCAAAUCCGAUUCAGCCAAAACCUAGAAGUUUGAGGAAGGAAAUGUAAAUGGUAAAGUAUUUUUGCAUGGACUAAUGUACAUGCUGAUGCAGGCUCUUAAUCCCAGGGGCCCCACAUGUCCAGGCUCACUUGAUUGGCCAGAUAUUUAAACAUUCAAUGAUAGAUUUGUUUGGCGUUUUCAGAUCUGUGGUGCGUUUCCCUUUGCUUUCCAAAAACUGGCAGAUUUCCUCACGC